rnacentral:rRNA from 1 species
UACGAAGGUCCCAAGCGUUGUUCGGAAUCACUGGGCGUAAAGGGAGCGUAGGCGGCGUGGUAAGUCAGAUGUGAAAUCCCGGGGCUCAACCCCGGAACUGCAUCCGAUACUGCCAUGCUAGAGGAUUGGAGAGGUAGCUGGAAUUCUUGGUGUAGCAUUGAAAUGCGUAGAGAUCAAGAGGAACACUCGUGGCGAAAGCGAGCUACUGGACAAUUCCUGACGCUGAGGCUCGAAGGCUAGGGUAGCGAAAGGG